CAAAGCUUUACUGUGAAAAGAUUUUUAAGUGAUGAAAAAGGGAGAUAAGGGAGAACAUUCAACUAUAACUUUAGCUAAUACAGUUCAAUGCAGCAAGCAUUAGAAUCUGGUGAAUGUGCAAACAGCAGAGGUAAUAUGAGCAUUUCCUAUACAGUCAGCUUUCAAGUUACCUUCAUGCAGCUGAAUAGAAAGGUUUAAAUUUAGGCUGAAUCAUAGUAUGUUCUACCAUACAUCUAAAAGAAGUUCUGUGUAUGCAAAUACAAAGGGAGGAAAUUACAUUUCCUUUCUCUCACGCAGCAGUCACGCACCCCCUUGCAUUUUUGCCUCCCACAGUUGCACUCUUAUCUUUUCUGUUUCUCAUAAUGGCAGUGCCCAUCUGAAUAAUAUCAUGUUUUGAACAACCCAUGGAGAUCUUCCAUUUCUCUAUGGAGAAGGAUGUUGAAGCGGCCUCUUGUCCUAUAAGGAGAUAGCCUUUCUUCUACCACGUGUCCUUUCUUUCUUAUUCUUGCCUUCAAAGUUAAUUCGCUUCCUCUGCAGAGUGACACGACUUUGGAGCCUACAGCUGUCCCAGAGAUCACCAGCAGAACCCACAGACACCAGAGUUCCUUCCCUGUAAAGAGGCAGUGUUAGUUAUUACGCGUGGGUGACUGACUUUACUUCUUAACUGCUUUUGACGCUAUUUUUUUUCUGCUGUAUGGAUUAAGAUUCUUUUUCUUCCAGAGGCUAUCAGUGUGUCUCCUAACCCUUCAUGACUCUGAAUCAUUUCAUAAUGCAACAGCAACUACAGUAUAUCCAGCUUAAGAAUAAGCUCAGCUUCCAGCGCUGCUUUGCCUCCUGACACCACAAGUACCCCCACAUUUCCUGUGACCGAUCAGUUUGCAAUGUUUUACCCCUUGUAGAGGAGCUCUCAUCAUGCUGCCAACUGCAGUUCUCACAGAAUAGCUCUGAAGAUUUCAAUAACACAGAAUAUCAUCUUUUUUUGCUUCCUAAUAGCUGAUUGAGGUUCAACUUGUACAAGAGAUCUUCUAGUUCAGUCCCUGUUCAGGAUCAACAAAACUUAAAAACAAUGAUAGAAGUUCAAAUUCAAGUUAGUGUUUGGCUAAUUCUGCAAGUAGAAAUAUAUCCAAUAUGAAUUAAAGUAAAAUAUGUACCCUAGUUCUUUGUGGGGGGAAAAAAAAAC
rnacentral:lncRNA from 1 species